ACGUAGGCAGCGAGCGUUGUUCGGAGUUACUGGGCGUAAAGCGCGCGUAGGCGGCUUUGUAAGUUAGAGGUGAAAGCCCGGGGCUCAACCCCGGAACUGCCUUUAAGACUGCAUCGCUUGAAUCCGGGAGAGGUGAGUGGAAUUCCGAGUGUAGAGGUGAAAUUCGUAGAUAUUCGGAAGAACACCAGUGGCGAAGGCGGCUCACUGGACCGGUAUUGACGCUGAUGUGCGAAAGCGUGGGGAGCAAACAGGA
rnacentral:rRNA from 1 species